ensembl:lincRNA
CGACGCUGGAUCCUCUCAACGGCUGCCAUCGAACAGCAGAAGAUAAGGUAAGCUCAAUUUAAGGCAGAGUCUGUGUAUGUGGACACUCACUAUUUGACCCUUUCUUCAGUUUCUCUUGUCUGUCCUCCACAAGCAGAGACUCACUGAUAGACAGCUGUUACCCAUUCUAGGCCUAACACAUCCAAACACGACCACACCGCAAGUGUAUCCUUUACAGAUCAAGGAGGAGUUCAGACGCAUCACAAUGGUUUCCUUGGAGGAGACAUUCCUGCGGAAGCUUGAUGAGUACACACCUGGUCUUUUGCGGCUAAUGCGUGCCAAAGGAGGAGCAGCUGGUUGCAAGAUGCGUCCUCUGCUGGACAGUUUAAAUACACAGAACAUUGAGGAAAAAAGAGAUGCUGUUGUCUGCUGCCUCAUUAACUACCUCGGUGAAAGACAAGAAGAUCUUUUCCAUGAAUGGCAGGAAUGUGAGGAGUACACAGACAAAACAAUGAAGGUGAUUGUGAAGCACAAUGUCAUGGCUGAGGAGGACGAUUUGUCUAUUGUGAUCGAGGGAAACCAAGUGAUGGAAGGAUGUGGAAGCCGAACAAAGGCAUGCAUACUGCUGAUGGGACUCAUAUAUGCAAUCAACAUUGAAUAUCCAAAGGAGCUGAAGAACACAUUUGAAGCUUUUCAAAAACUUUUUUUGGAAAUUGAUGGGGCAAAACUUCUGAAGAAAGUCCACAGCCUCAAAAAUAAGCUUAUGAAGUAGACAUUUCUCUCCUUGUUUAAAGGGGAUUCUUUGUUUGGACAUACCUUGAUGGAGUUGUAAUGGACUGUUUUAUAUUUUUCUUCUCUUCCCUCAUUUGCUCCACAUACAGACACAGACCCAUCCACUGUUUCUCAGCCCUCUCCAUUGCUCUGUGUUUUCCCCCAUAUUGACAGAAAAGGAAUACUAAUAGAUAGUGGCCUGAACAAUUUUGAUCUCACCUACCCUCUUCCCCAUUUGUUUGCUUAUUUCAUUCUGAUCCUAUCUGCGAGAGUGAGAGUAAGGACAAAAAAAAAAAAUGAUGGUAUUUUGUUUUUCUUUUAUCUUUUUUUAUAUUUAAUACUGUACAUGCACAGAAAAACGAGGUUGUGUGUGUGGUUUUGCCUUUUAAAAUAUAAUAAGUGGCCUCUGAAAGAGUUGUAUGCGAGUAGCCAAUUAUUCAGAAACAACAUUUGAAAAUUAUCUUAGUGAGCUAUAAAACAGGUUUAUUUGUUCAUUAUUGUGUGAAGCUGUUGCACUUUAUUUAGCACUUUAUUCUGUGUUUUUAGAUACAAGAAAAUCUUGAUGUGAUUGAUCAUUCAGCACUGCUCUGAUUUCCUCACUUCUUUUUUAUUUUCCUUUUUUUGCUCCCCUCUCUCCUCACUUUUCUUUUCUUCUCUGAUCUAGAUGUGUUUUAUUAUCCAACAUUAUUGAAACAACAUUUGAAACUGUUGUCUUAAUGAGUUAUAAAACAGGUUUAUUUGUUCAUUGUUGUGUGAAGCUGUUGUACUUUAUUUAGCACUUUAUUCUGUGUGUUUUGAUAAUUUGGUGCAUCAGUGCUGCAUAUAAGCAAGACUGUUCAGUUAUUUUGUUUUAUGAAUGUAUAUGGAUAACAGACCACUGGUCAGUUACUGUUGUGUAAAUCUGAAAAGACACAAGUUUAGUCUAAGAGUUUAGAUAAAAGAAAAUCUUGAUGUGAUUGGACAUCCAGCUCUGCUCUAAUCUCCUCACUUCUCCUUUUUUUCUCCUUUUUUUUUUCCUUUUCUUUGCUUACUUCUUUUCUGCUCUGAUCUGGAUGUCCUAAAACAGGGAAAUGUUUUAUUAUCCAACAUUAUUGAAAUAUUUGAUAGAUCAGCGAGUUAUAAAACAUGUUCAUUACUUGAAAUGUUGUGUAAUGCUGUUGUGCUGCACUUUAUUUUAAGUGCGUUUUCUGAUUUUUUGGAAUAAAAACAUUGAGUUGA